rnacentral:lncRNA from 1 species
UCAAUCUUUCCUAAUCUACAAAACCCAUUUACAAUGUCCACAAGAACAUUCUUAUCUGGUGUCAAACAAUUUUGAACCAUCUUGUCAAGAAGCGUUAACACAUCAUCUAACUGAAGGUUUUUGCACAAACAUUGUAUCAGAGCCUCAUAAAUAAAUGAAUUUGGAACCAAAUUAGAGGUUUGCAUCAUCCUAAACAACCUAAUUGCCUCUUCCAGUUUAUUUUCCCUGCAAAACAAAGGUAUUAUACAUGUAUAAAAAUUCAACUCUGGCAGACAGCCAACUUUUUGCAUCUCAUCCAAAAUAAUAAUGGCAUCAUCAACUUGUUUAUUCAAAAUAAGACCUUUAAUAACUAUCUCGAAAGUCUCCUUGAAAGAAGAAAUUGAGCGGUCGGUAUAAUCAAAAUGCCAAUUUUACGUUUUUCCCAGGCCCUCAGCAAGUAUGUCAAGAACAUUAUCUUUAAUGGUAAAGUUUUCAUAUGUCAACAUUUUCUCUCCACUUUCCACCCUAUCAACAGAUCCAAUCAACAAUCUAUGAGUAGUAGCAUCAGGGAUCCAACCCUUCUCCAACAUCAAAUCCAAUAAUUGACGGGCUCCAUUCUUAUUGCCCUCUUUCCAGAGACCUUUAACCAGCAUGUUAUACAUGGUUGAAUCCAGAACUUCAGAAUUAGGAACAAGUCUAUCAAUUGAAGAUGAAAUCAAAUGCAACUUAGAAUGAUUAGCGAAACAUGAUAACAUAUUAUGCAGCAUGUCUGAGUCAGGUACCAAACCCUCAUUAAUCAUAGUAUUGAAAAUUAAAGCACAAUCCUUUAUUUGAUUCCGUGCAAUCAUGCUUUUUAUCAGAAUGCAAUACGCUUCUGCAUCAAGAUUGCAGCCCUUAACCAGCAUUUGUGAGAGAAACACUAGAAGAUUUCUUCCUUCGUCUGUUUUGGAUAAGCCAAGCAUGAUAUUAUUGUAAGUUGCAUUGUCACAAGAAAUACCAGAAUCAAAAGCCAUCUGCAGUAGGCUGACAGCUUCAUUAACCAUUCCCUUGUUACAGAUACCCUUGACCAGCAAACUAAAUGAGAAUGACUGGAGGGGACAUCUAUUUGAAAACAUGUAGUGAAACACUUCGGUAGCCUCUAGAUACUUUUCUACCCUACAAAGUCCUUCAAUAAGAUCAGAGUAAGAUAGAGAAUCUAAAACCCAGGAUUUGGCUUGUAAUUGCAGGAAGAGUUGUAGAGCAUCUUCAAACUUGCUUAACCUACACAGACCAAUAACAAGAGCUGAAUAAGUGGCACAGUUGGGAACCAGUGAAGAUACGAUCAUCCUCCCAAGAAGUUCAUGUGCUUUCUUAACAUCUGCCUUCUUGCAAAGCCACCUGAUUAAGAUAUUCCAAGAAUCACAAUCAGCUACAGUUCUCUUAGACAUUUUCUCAAGCUGAUCUUUAGCCAGAAAAAAUCUACCAGCAUCACAACAACCUUCAAGCAACGCAUUGUGUGGAGAAGUUUCAAGUAUGAGUUUAUCUUCCAAGAACUUCACAGCCUUGUCAAUCUUUCCUAAUCUACAAAACCCAUUUACAAUGUCCACAAGAACAUUCUUAUCUGGUGUCAAACAAUUUUGAACCAUCUUGUCAAGAAGCGUUAACACAUCAUCUAACUGAAGGUUUUUGCACAAACAUUGUAUCAGAGCCUCAUAAAUAAAUGAAUUUGGAACCAAAUUAGAGGUUUGCAUCAUCCUAAACAACCUAAUUGCCUCUUCCAGUUUAUUUUCCCUGCAAAACAA